UACAGAGGGUGCAAGCGUUAAUCGGAUUUACUGGGCGUAAAGGGCGCGUAGGUGGUAAAGCAAGUAAGAUGUGAAAUCCCUGGGCUUAACCUAGGAAGUGCAUCUUAAACUGCUUAACUAGAGUAUGGUAGAGGGUAGUGGAAUUUCCGGUGUAGCGGUGAAAUGCGUAGAGAUCGGAAGGAACGCCAGUGGUGAAGACGACUACCUGGACCAGUACCGACGUUCAGGCACGAAAGCGUGGGGAGCAAACAGG
rnacentral:rRNA from 1 species